ACGGGAGGCAGCAGUGGGGAAUAUUGCACAAUGGGCGAAAGCCUGAUGUAGCGACGCCGCGUGAGCGAAGAAGUAUUUCGGUAUGUAAAGCUCUAUCAGCAGGGAAGAAAAAUGACGGUACCUGACUAAGAAGCACCGGCUAAAUACGUGCCAGCAGCCGCGGUAAUACGUAUGGUGCAAGCGUUAUCCGGAUUUACUGGGUGUAAAGGGAGCGCAGGCGGUACGGCAAGUCUGAUGUGAAAGCCCGGGGCUCAACCCCGGUACUGCAUUGGAAACUGUCGAACUAGAGUGUCGGAGGGGUAAGUGGAAUUCCUAGUGUAGCGGUGAAAUGCGUAGAUAUUAGGAGGAACACCAGUGGCGAAGGCGGCUUACUGGACGAUCACUGACGCUGAGGCUCGAAAGCGUGGGGAGCAAACAGGAUUAGAUACCCUGGUA
rnacentral:rRNA from 1 species